CAUAUAAAAAAGACAACUCUGUUCCACAGAGUUACUGUUGACAUUAUAGUUGCGCAGGCACUUUGUUGACUCUAGAGAACCUCGGGCCAAUCGCACACCUCCGUGGCGGUGACUUUGCAUGCGGAUGUCAUCCAUAUCAACUUUCAAAGCCAGUUUCUGCGCCUACUAUGGUGACCACGGGUAACGGGGAAUCAGGGUUCCAUUCCGUACAGGGACCCUGAGAAACGCUACCACAUGCAAGGAAGGCAG